rnacentral:rRNA from 1 species
GACGAACGCUGGCGGCGUGCUUAACACAUGCAAGUCGAACGGAAAGGCCCUGCUUUUGUGGGGUGCUCGAGUGGCGAACGGGUGAGUAACACGUGAGUAACCUGCCCUUGACUUUGGGAUAACUUCAGGAAACUGGGGCUAAUACCGGAUAGGAGCUCCUGCUGCAUGGUGGGGGUUGGAAAGUUUCGGCGGUUGGGGAUGGACUCGCGGCUUAUCAGCUUGUUGGUGGGGUAGUGGCUUACCAAGGCUUUGACGGGUAGCCGGCCUGAGAGGGUGACCGGCAAAAUUGGGACUGAGAUACGGCCCAGACUCCUACGGGAGGCAGCAGUGGGGAAUAUUGCACAAUGGGCGGAAGCCUGAUGCAGCAACGCCGCGUGCGGGAUGACGGCCUUCGGGUUGUAAACCGCUUUCGCCUGUGACGAAGCGUGAGUGACGGUAAUGGGUAAAGAAGCACCGGCUAACUACGU